AACAUGCCCACAGGUGCCAUGACAGCUCCAAGACUAACCAUAAAAGGUCAAAGAGUGGGAAAUGGCCAACUUCCUGGGAACCUCAGCCCCUUCCCUAGGGUAGUUAGAAUGGUCCUUCCACUUAUUAGCAUAUGAAGCUACCAAGCCCAUAAAAACUGGCAAUACCAUAUCGGAAGACCGUC